rnacentral:rRNA from 1 species
AUUGAACGCUGGCGGAAUGCUUUACACAUGCAAGUCGAGCGGCAGCGCGGGGCAACCUGGCGGCGAGCGGCGAACGGGUGAGUAAUGUAUCGGAACGUAUCCUUAAGUGGGGGACAACUAGUCGAAAGACUAGCUAAUACCGCAUACGAUCGAGAGAUGAAAGUGGGGGACCGCAAGGCCUCACGCUUUUGGAGCGGCCGAUAUCCGAUUAGCUUGUUGGUGAGGUAAAGGCUUACCAAGGCUAUGAUCGGUAGCUGGUCUGAGAGGAUGAUCAGCCACACUGGGACUGAGACACGGCCCAGACUCCUACGGGAGGCAGCAGUGGGGAAUUUUGGACAAUGGGGGCAACCCUGAUCCAGCCAUUCCGCGUGAGUGAAGAAGGCUUUCGGGUUGUAAAGCUCUUUUGUCGGGGACGAAACGGUUUCACCUAAUACGUGAGACUACUGACGGUACCCGAAGAAUAAGCACCGGCUAACUACGUGCCAGCAGCCGCGGU